rnacentral:rRNA from 1 species
GACGAACGCUGGCGGUGUGCUUAACACAUGCAAGUCGAACGGUAAGGCCCUUUCGGGGGUACACGAGUGGCGAACGGGUGCGUAACACGUGAGUAACCUGCCCUCAUCUCUGGGAUAACAGUCGGAAACGGUUGCUAAUUCUGGUUAUGCGCUUGCCAGGCAUCUUGUGGGUUGGAAAGAUUUUUUUUGGUUGGGGGUGGACUCGCGGCCUAUCAGCUUGUUGGUGUGGUAGUGGCUCAGCAAGGCUUCGACGGGUAGCCGGCCUGAGAGGGCGAACGGACACAUUGGGACUGAGAGACGGGCCGAACUCGGACGGGAGGCAGCAGUGGGGAAUAUUGGACAAUGGAAGGAAGUCUGAUGCAGGAAGGCCGCGUGCGGGAUGAGGGCCUUCGGGUGGUAAGACGCUUUCAAGUGUGACGAAGCGUUUUUGUGACGGUAGCAGAAGAAGAAGCACCGGCUAACUACGUG